GUGGGGAAUCUUGCGCAAUGGGCGAAAGCCUGACGCAGCCAUGCCGCGUGAAUGAUGAAGGUCUUAGGAUUGUAAAAUUCUUUCACCGGGGACGAUAAUGACGGUACCCGGAGAAGAAGCCCCGGCUAACUUCGUGCCAGCAGCCGCGGUAAUACGAAGGGGGCUAGCGUUGCUCGGAAUUACUGGGCGUAAAGGGCGCGUAGGCGGACAGUUUAGUCAGAGGUGAAAGCCCAGGGCUCAACCUUGGAAUUGCCUUUGAUACUGGCUGUCUUGAGUACGGGAGAGGUGAGUGGAACUCCGAGUGUAGAGGUGACAUUCGUAGAUAUUCGGAAGAACACCAGUGGCGAAGGCGACUCACUGGCCCGUUACUGACGCUGAGGCGCGAAAGCGUGGGGAGCAAACAGGAUUAGAAACCCUGGUAGUCC
rnacentral:rRNA from 1 species